ensembl:misc_RNA 7SK 7SK RNA
GAAUGAGUUGUGUAGUGUACACUCUGCUUCAAUUCUCUGGAAAAUGUUAUAGAUAAUAGGUGUCAUUUCUUUCUCAAAUGUUUGGUAGACCAAAUAAGCUCUCAACAUAUACUUGUAGGAGAACACAGGGAAGUCAAGCGUACAAGAUUUCAGACACACUCGAAUGAGGUGUUGUGUGUUGCAGUCUGCCUUUCUUA